rnacentral:rRNA from 1 species
AGCGGCGAACGGGUGAGUAAUACGUAGCUAACCUACCCCUAUACCAGGGAAAACUCCGCGAAAGUGGAACUAAUACCUGAUAAGAUUACUAGCGCAGAAGUGUUGGUGAUUAAAGGCGGGAGCUUAAAAGCUCAUUUCACGCUGUGUGGGGAGGGGGCUACGACCUAUCAGCUUGUUGGUAGGGUAAUGGCCUACCAAGGCGAUGACGGGCAGGGGGUCUGAGAGGACGGCUCCCCACAUAGGGACUGUGACACGGCCCUGACUCCUACGGGAAGCAGCAGUAGGGAAUCUUCGGCAAUGGGCGCAAGCCUGACCGAGCGAUGCCGCGUGGGGGAUGAAGGCCUUCGGGUUGUAAACCCCUUUUCUGGGGGAAGAAUAAGUCUAGCAGGACAUGGCUAGAUGAUGACGGUACCCCAGGAAGAAGCAUCGGCUAACUCUGUGCCAGCAGCCGCGGUAAGACAGAGGAUGCGAGCGUUAUCCGGAAUCACUGGGCGUAAAGGGCGCCUAGGCGGGCUGCCCAUGUCUGGGGUGAAAUCCCUUGGAUCAACUGAGGGAGGUCCUCGGAACAUGUAAGGCUGGGGCCCAGGAGAGGGGAGCGGAACUUCUAGAGUAGCGGUGAAAUGCGCAGAUACUAGAAGGUACCUCGAUAGCGACGGCAGCUCCCUGGCCUGGUGCCGACGCUGACGCGCGAAAGCGUGGGGAGCAAACCGGAUUAGAUACCCGGGUAGUCCACGCCCCAAACGAUGCCGGCUAGGUGUCGGCUCUUAUAAAUUUGGGUCGGUGCCGCAGCAAACGCGUUAAGCCGGCCGCCUGAGUAGUACGGCCGCAAGGCUAAAACUCAAGGGAAUUGACGGGGGCCCACACAAGCGGUGGAGCACGUGGUUCAAUUCGACGGUAAGCGAAGAACCUUACCAGGGCUUGACAUGCACGUAGUAAGAACCCGAAAGGGGGAUGAUUUCUAGUCGUAAGACCAGGAAAGCGUGCACAGGUGCUGCAUGGCUGUCGUCAGCUCGUGUCGUAGGACGUCGGGUUAAGUCCCGUAACGAGCGCAACCCUUGCCCCUAGUUGCUAACAGGAAAGCUGAGCACUCUAGCGGGACUGCCGGUGAAUAGCCGGAGGAAGGAGGGGAUGACGUCAAGUCAGCAUGGCCCUUAUGUCCUGGGCGACACACGUGCUACAAUGGCCAGUACAAAGGGUCGCCAACCCGCAAGGGGGAGCUAAUCUCAAAAAGCUGGCCUCAGUUCAGAUUGGGGUCUGCAACUCGACCCCAUGAAGCUGGAAUCGCUAGUAAUCGUGGGUCAGCCACACCACGGUGAAUGAGUACUUGGGCCUUGUACACACCGCCCGUCACACCAGCCGAGUGGGGUGCACUCGAAG